UUUAAGGUUUUUCCCUAGUGAACCUGCGGAAGGAUCAUUG
rnacentral:rRNA from 1 species